CAUGUACAUUCAGAUGCUUUCUCAUGGGAACCACAAGGGCAUCCCAGAUACUUCCAGCAAGACAGCCUCGUAAAGGUAACGGAGAAGAGUCGAAGUCUGAGUGCAUUCAGAUUCUAAAUGUUAUACAGUUCCAGCAAAGCUGCAGUGAACAAAGUAAAACAUUGACUGAGGUCACUGGAAAAUCGGCUUCCCAAAGAAACUCCCCCAGAUACAGAGUGGUCAUCUUCAUUGAAACAGGGCUCUGGAGCUUGGAUGAGAAAGGCCCUCUGUGGCUUAGAUGCUUUUAAAACAGCUUCAGGAGUGGUCAGGCUGUGUUUGAGGCUAAUCUCCAAGAGCCAAUUCCUGCAGACAGGGGCUGUAAGGGGGUCGGCACUCAAGAGGCCCAUAUUCAGGAGGCCCACAUCCCUCCCCACCGGCCCCUCCAAUACCUUGGUCAGCCAGCCCUUCACAGUGGGCUUGGUGCCGCCCCGAGGCAGGGCUGGAGGCCCCACGGCCUGGACCCUCAGCAGGCUCUGCAGCACCCGGAUCCACUCCUCCAGCAGGCCAGGGUCUGUGUAUACCUGCCUGCCCCCCAGCACACUCCUUGGCACUUCACACCUGUCACUACCCCCUGCCACUGCCUUCACUGUUCCCCAGGACGCCUAUCUCCAGGCAGGCAGCAUCUGCUGGAGGCCUGCUCCCAUCCUGCCUGCCUCAACCCGGCUGAGGGCGCUGUGCUCCCAGCUCACCCCGCCCAGGCCUGGCCCCUCAAUGGAGUAGGAGGAGGUGCGCUGGAGUUUGUGCUCCGGCUCCGAAUAGUCGCUGUCCAGUGAGCAGGCAUCUGGGGGGAUGGCGUAGUCGCCCUCGGAGCUCAGCGAGGACAUGGAGACACCUGCCAAGGGAGGAGGAGUCCAGGCCUGGGUCCCCAUACCCCUCCCGGGGCUGCAGGGACUGCAGGGACCUUCCUCACCGACCCAGGAUCUCUGAGUCUGGAGCUGAGGGUCACAGGCAGAGAUGAAGCAGGGAGCCCUGGAGAAGCCCACCCGUAGGAAGAGGGCUUGCUGCCCCGCACCCUGCUGCUCCCUCCUCUGUACCUCUCUUGAUGGCCCUGGGGCUGCCCAGUCCACUGGUCUUCCUGGACUCUGAGCAGGGGACCGAAGAUCGGAAACUCGCCUGAGAGCUGCAGUCAUCGUCGGACCCGGAGGACUCAUCCAUAAAAGGCACGCUGCUGAUCUGCGUGGCUCUCUGCAAGACAGGUGCCCUCCCCCACUGCAGCUCACCUUGCCAAACAAGACCCUUCCCCUCGGCACUUGUGUUCCUGCCCACGUGCCCGGGGUGCAGCCAACACAGCCUCCCCAGGCACUCGACAGACAACUGUUGCAUCUGUGUCCUCACCUCCAAGCUUCUCCUUUGGCCUCCCGCCCCCACAUGGAGUCCUCCAUCCUCCGUGGUCCCCAAAGGAGCUGCCCCAUCUGAGCUAACUGGCUGCUAUGACCCUUGCUCCUGCCACUAGGGGGCCAGGAUGCCACGUGGCGCAAGCAAGAGACAGGAGCUUUAUUUAUUUAUUUUUAAGAUUUUAUUUAUUUAUGAGAGACACAGAGCGAGAGAGAGAAAGAGAGAGAGAGAGAGAGACAAAGAGAGAGAGAGGCAGAGAGAGAAGCAGGCUCCAUGCAGGGAGCCCGACGUGGGACUCGAUCCCCGGUCUCCAGGAUCACACCCUGGGCUGAAGGUGGCGCUAAACUACUAAGCCACCAGGGCUGCCCGAGACAGGAGCUUUAAACCGUGUGUGGGGAUAAGGAAACAAGAGGCCAUCUCGGUGGGCAACAUUUAGAAAGACAGUGUCAAUGUUGGUGAAAGCGUGGGAAAAAAGAUACUCUAUAGUGUGAUAAAGCCUUUUAGGAGGUAAUUUGGCACUACCUGCCAAAAUUUAAAAUAUGGAUAUCAUUUGCCCAUAAAUUUCACCUCUGGAAAUACAUUAUACUAAGUCCACAGAGAUAUAUUUGCACAAUGAUAUUCAUUACAGCAUUGAUUUUAGAGAAAAACAUAGAUAUGACCUAAAUUGUUAAUCAGUGUGGGCAGCCUGGGUGGUUCAGCGGUUUAGCGCCACCUUCAGUCCAGGGCAUUAUCCUGGAGACCCAGAAUCGAGUCCCAUGUCGGGCUCCCUGCAUGGAGCCUGCUUCUCCCUCUGCCUGUGUGUCUGCCUCUCUCUCUCUCUGUAUGUGUCUCUCAUGAAUAAAUAAAUAAAAUCUUAAAAAAAAAUUGUCAAUCAGUGGAGGGCAGGUUAAGUAAGGUAGUUAUGGGGGAAUCUAUACCAAGGGGUACUGGACAGCCCUAAGGGGAAGCAGAGCUGUGCACAGAGGUACGGCAGGAAGAUGUGACACACGGUCACAUAAACAUACAAGGAGUAGAAGGAUGUGUAUAAUGUGAUCCUCGCUGCGUGCAUGUGUGUGUUUGAGAGAGAGAAAGAGAGGGACAGACAGGGACACAGACAAUAUUUGUCGAUAUACCGGUAAAUUUGUCAGAGAGCCUCACAGGAUAAACACCAAACCAUUAAUGAUAGUGGCCUCUGGGGUCAGAAAUUAGGGAAAAGCAAUGUGAAAGAAAAUUUAACUUUUGGAUUUUUGGUUCUUCUAUAAAAUGUUUUAUAAAGCAUUACUGUUUUGAGCUCAAAAACCACUAAUAAAAUGAAAAAUGUGUAUGACGUUAUCUCAGUUGUAUCUGACCUUUGUUAAAAAAUAUGUAGAGAUAUGAAACUAACAUGACACUGCGUGCCAACUACAUUAAAAAAAAACCACGCAGAGAUAUUAUGAGAGUAUACACAGGAAUAUUUGUUUGAGUAUGUAUGAAAAGUUCUGGAAGGAGUCUUCUUGGGAACAGACAUGUGAAAAGAUGGUGAGGACAGGUGAAGCAGGCAUAGGUCUAACAUUUAACUUUUCACUUUGCCCACAAUUGUAUUGAU